GUAGGGAAUAUUGGGCAAUGGUCGGAAGACUGACCCAGCCAUGCCGCGUGCAGGAAGACGGCCCUCUGGGUUGUAAACUGCUUUUAUCUGGGAAGAAAAAGGCCAUGCGUGGCAAAUUGCCGGUACCAGAUGAAUAAGCACCGGCUAACUCCGUGCCAGCAGCCGUGGUAAUACGGAGGGUGCGAGCGUUGUCCGGAUUUAUUGGGUUUAAAGGGUGCGUAGGCGGCUGAUUAAGUCAGCGGUGAAAGACUUCGGCUUAACCGGAGCAGUGCCGUUGAUACUGGUUGGCUUGAGUGUCGGAGGGGUACAUGGAAUUGAUGGUGUAGCGGUGAAAUGCAUAGAUACCAUCAGGAACACCGAUAGCGAAGGCAUUGUACUGGCCGACAACUGACGCUGAUGCACGAAAGUGUGGGGAUCGAACAGGAUUAGAUACCCCGGUAGUCC
rnacentral:rRNA from 1 species